AGUCCUUAUCAGUAUAUCUCUUACUUUCUUGCCUCUUUUCCUCUAAAUUGUCCUUUCUGUCUUCCCCUCACUCACCCCAGGGUAUAUCUGCCCAUGCCUCAAGACAAAGGGUUACCUUGACCCUUGUCGUAUAACAGUGGUGUUUAUUUGUACUUUCCACCAUUUUUCCUGCCAGUAAAGAAAAGUUAAUCCAGUCUUCAUGGCUUAUUGCAAAUGGGCACAGUUAGAGAUGAACAACAUGUAGGACAAAUUUACUUGACCUCAUUCUAUUCUUCUCAAAAUUCAUAUAAUACCUCAAAAAAACCUGAAGUCUAACAAUGAAGAUUCAAAUGACAGUGACUUAAUAAGUAAAUGGAGUUGUGCUAAACCUGGGUGAAGGGUUAUCAUCUUCUCAACUGAGAAUAAAUACAGAGGAUAAUGAACAUGGUUCUCCAGGCAGUGAGACCUUCUGCAUACUGGGUGUCCUCCUAACCACAGAGAAUAUACAACAGUAAAGCAGUACACUACCUUUUUUUUUUUUUUUUCUGCUAUAAAAAUGACUCAGUUUUUGUAAAAGGGUACUUUUCAUUUAUUGUUUAUAUUAGGAAAAACAAACUGCAAGUGUAGUUUGAAGAAAACCUUUCUUUCCUUAGGUGAUGUUUUUUCUGCUUUCCUUAAUCUAGAUAUUUCUCUUGUCCUAGGCUGUGCCAUAUCAAACAUGACACUCUUCCUCUGGAUCUACAGGCAUCAAGAGAUAGGAGGAUGCCCUUCUACAUCUGCAGCCCAUGGGGGGUAGGUUUCCUUCCUGUUUGUUUGUGGGUACAGCAAAGGAAGGCCUAUGGAGAGACCCUAUGGGGUUCAUUCCUGAUUACUAUUUAUUCAGAGUCAGUGAGGGAGGUGACAUUUUUUUUCACCACAGUUAUAAUCUGUCUGCGUGCAAAUGUUAAGUGAAAAAUAAAAUCAAUUCUUCUUCCAGGGUAAAGGACAGAUAGCACAGAAGACACUAGUGUUGCACUUAUAUAAAGUUGUUUCUAAUGAAAAGCCUUACUGUAAAACAAACUUUUUCCCAGACACUAAGAUUCAGGAAGGACGGAAGAAAAAAAAAAAAGAGAAGACUAAGGCUAGAAAACAUUGAGAUGUUUCAUGAAUCAGAUGUUCUUAUUGUAAGUAAAUUUUUUUAUAUCAGCCAUUAGCAUGGCAGAAAGUUCUCACGGUUAUUACAGCUUUUCUCCUUCUUAAGAACUAUACUCUGAAAUAUUUAUUAUCAACCAAAUUAAAAUCUACUUCUGAUGUAGGAGGAAGAAGAGACAGCAAAAAGGAAGCAAUUACAAAGAACUUGAGCAUGUGUUCCUUCGGACAUCUUUAUAACUAAACACCACUUCUUUAUCACUUCAUAAGCUCAGAGUGAGGGUACCUACUAUGCCACAGGAGUAGCCCUGGCAAGGAGUUUCAACUAACAGAACUCAACUAGCGAAAGAAGAUAAUUAGAGGAAUAAGACUGCAUGUUGCUAGUGUCACUGGCAAACUAAAAUCUUGCUUCUCACAGGUAAAUCAAGCUUUUUUUCUAAUUUGCACAUUUUUCACUGUGGAAUUUAUCAUUUCGUUUGCUUAUUGAUGUUGUCCAUAAAAGAAGACCUUGCUUUUGUUGUGUUUCACAUUAAUGAUGAAAUUUGUACUUCUGAGCUGAAUUAGAAUUUAUUGGAAAAGUGACUUAGUUUGCAGAAAUUCAGUUAUGAUGCCAAAAAAAAAA